ensembl:rRNA 5S_rRNA 5S ribosomal RNA
GUCUCAGGCCGUAUCAGCCUGAAGGCGCCCGAUCUCGUCUGAUCUCGGAAGCUAAGCAGGGUCGGGCCUGGUUAGGAUCUUGGAUGGGUGACCACCUGGGAAUCCCGGGUGCUCGAGGCU